rnacentral:rRNA from 1 species
GANGAAGUCNGUAACAAGGUUUCCGUAGGUGAACCUGCGGAAGGAUCAUUG